UUUAUAAAAAUAGGUUUUCUCAAGAGAGGGAAUUGUGCUGGUUGCAGCUGCUGCUGUGGCUGCAUUUAGUCUUCACUUCUGGGUUAUCUCUGUAUCCAAGCAGGUGCCAGGGGCACUACUGAGUUGUUCCACAACAUUGAUACAUGCAUCUUGCAUUAUGCUGUGUUUAUACUGCUUCUUAUCCAUGAAGGUUUUUUAGUAUGAAAUUGUAGAAGUGCUUUUUAUCUCACUUUAAAAAAAAAAAAAAGGGGGCGGGACACACAGCAAAGAUUAUCUUGUACAGUUUGGGGUUUGUUUGGAUGAAUUGAAUGUUUCCCAAGAAAAACACACCAUAACUUUCUGGUUUUUUCCUCCAUCUUGCUUGUGUCCAUAUUGAGCCUGUGUAGGUUUUGGAGACUUUUUCCCCCCAAUUUUUGGGCCACCUUGCCUUCUGAUGUCACACAGAUCAACCCAGGAUGACAGGACACAUGGAAGACUUGUGUCCACAAAUUCCAUGUGCAACCUGCCCAGAGAGCUCUGAAUUGCUUUGCACAGCUCUGACCAAGGACUGAUGAUGGGCAUGUGAUUUUUAAGAAACAGAUCAGUAUCAGACUGGAAAUGUGUUGAGGCACACCUGUUCAUUACUACUUUCCCUUAAAUGGCCUGUUUUCUGUACAGCAUCACUCCUGGGACUCUAGCAGGGGCAGUUUUAAGGCAGAAGAUGAUUGUAAAUAAAUUUUCAGAGGUGUUUUGGAGAGUCCCUUAUUGCUGUCGGAGGUGGCUGUUGGAAAAUUCCUUUGGGAGGGUGACUUGCAUGCUUUGUUGUAAGAGUGACUCCAGAAUUAAGGAGCAUUGGCAAGUGCAGUGAGAUGAGUCUGAGGCUGUGGAUCACAUGUAACUGUUUCCUCCCUGCUGUCUUUUAGGAUGAAAUUCGCAGGGAGAUGGUUUAUGUGUAUCAUUCCUUAAGGAACAGGAGAGACACUCCCAUGAUGGGGACAGAUGACACUGCCAGUGAGGAUGGCACGGCCCAGCAGACUCACGGGCUGCGCUUUCCUUUGUCAUACUUGGAAGCACUGAAGCAGAUUUGGAGUAGCAGCACUGUUCAUGUUAAAGAGCUUAACCUCACCUCAGAUGAAGAGAAGGAAAACCUUGCCUUGUCCCUGUGGAGUGAAUGUCUGAUUGAAGUUCUUUGAUGCUUCUGUGAAUUAGCUGCUCCUCUAAAGGAGUGUUUCUGUCUAUUAAGCAUCUCCUGAGAGCGAGGCUUAUUAAAUUACUUUUUUAUCCA